CUAAGCAUGAAGCCCCCCUCAAGAUGAGAUUUCCCAACUUCGGUUAUAAGAUCCCUCAAAGAUGAUGAGGUUAAUAGGUUCGAGGUGGAAGCAUGGUGACAUGUGGAGCUGACGAAUACUAAUCGAUCGAAGACUUAAUCAAAA
rnacentral:rRNA from 2 species